AGAAACUUAGGUUACAUUUUUUAAACCGGAGGCCUUCAAAGCCUCAAACAGGGCUUUUAAACCCUAGCUUCUG
rnacentral:tRNA from 1 species